rnacentral:rRNA from 1 species
AUUGAACGCUGGCGGCAGGCCUAACACAUGCAAGUCGAGCGGUAACACAGGGAGCUUGCUCCCGGGUGACGAGCGGCGGACGGGUGAGUAAUGUCUGGGAAACUGCCUGAUGGAGGGGGAUAACUACUGGAAACGGUAGCUAAUACCGCAUAACGUCGCAAGACCAAAGAGGGGGACCUUCGGGCCUCUUGCCAUCAGAUGUGCCCAGAUGGGAUUAGCUAGUAGGUGGGGUAACGGCUCACCUAGGCGACGAUCCCUAGCUGGUCUGAGAGGAUGACCAGCCACACUGGAACUGAGACACGGUCCAGACUCCUACGGGAGGCAGCAGUGGGGAAUAUUGCACAAUGGGCGCAAGCCUGAUGCAGCCAUGCCGCGUGUAUGAAGAAGGCCUUCGGGUUGUAAAGUACUUUCAGCGGGGAGGAAGGUGCUGAGGUUAAUAACCUCAGCAAUUGACGUUACCCGCAGAAGAAGCACCGGCUAACUCCGUGCCAGCAGCCGCGGUAA